UACGAAGGGGGCUAGCGUUGCUCGGAAUCACUGGGCGUAAAGGGUGCGUAGGCGGGUCUUUAAGUCAGGGGUGAAAUCCUGGAGCGCAACUCCAGAACUGCCUUUGAUACUGGCGAUCUUGAGUCCGGGAGAGGUGAGUGGAACUGCGAGUGUAGAGGUGAAAUUCGUAGAUAUUCGCAAGAACACCAGUGGCGAAGGCGGCUCACUGGCCCGGUACUGACGCUGAGGUGCGAAAGCGUGGGGAGCAAACAGG
rnacentral:rRNA from 1 species